CACUCUCCUCUACUAAUCUAGGCUAUAUGCUAGCGCCAUAUGCUACAUGCUUAAUUUAUGUUACUCACCCUCGUAGUUGUGGACCUAACUUGAUAUGUCCCACUUCAAAGCUUUCUCCCGUUUCAUGAUGGGUGCAGGUGAAAGUGCGUCGACCAUUCUGUGCACAUUAUUGACAUAUACUAAUAAUAAAGCAAUCGACGGAGGGAGUAAAUAAACUCAGUAUAUAUAUCUAUGUCGGUUACAGAGCAGCCGCCCGCAACAGACGUUCAACGUAAAGCGAACGCACCCUCAACGGGGCAGGGAUCAUUUCAUUGGUCAACACUACAGCUGGCAUUCUAUUGGUUGGGGGAUUUUGAGAGGAUUGUAACACAAAAAAUCAGAGCGCGCAGGAGAAAUCCGUGAGGAGAUUUGCAAGCGUGCAGACUCAACCUGAGUGUGAGGAGAAGGGCCAAAGCUGAGAGCAGGAAAUAUGUCCAAACAACAACAUAUCUGAGUCCAAGCAGAAAGUUUGAGCACAAGCAGAGCAAAUCCAAGCGCGAGCAGUGACUAUUUGAGUGUGAGAGCAAGGUUUUGAGGGAAAUUAUUACAAAAUCUGAACGUAAUAUCAGUGAGAAAUGCUCUCAAAUUGAAAGAAUGCACUCUUGAAUAAAGAUAGGAAUAUAAC